rnacentral:tRNA from 2 species
GGAGAGGUGGCCGAGCGGCUGAAGGCGCACGCUUGGAAAGCGUGUUUAGGGAAACCUAACGUGGGUUCGAAUCCCACCCUCUCCGCCA